AGAGUUUGAUUCUGGCUCAGGAUGAACGCUGGCGGCGUGCUUAACACAUGCAAGUCGAACGAAGCACUUUACCUGAUUUCCUUCGGGGAUGAUUGUUCUGUGACUGAGUGGCGGACGGGUGAGUAACGCGUGGAUAACCUGCCUCACACAGGGGGAUAACAGUUGGAAACGACUGCUAAUACCGCAUAAGCGCACGGCACCGCAUGGUGCAGUGUGAAAAACUCCGGUGGUGUGAGAUGGAUCCGCGUCUGAUUAGCUUGUUGGCGGGGUAACGGCCCACCAAGGCGACGAUCAGUAGCCGGCCUGAGAGGGCGACCGGCCACAUUGGGACUGAGACACGGCCCAGACUCCUACGGGAGGCAGCAGUGGGGAAUAUUGCACAAUGGGGGAAACCCUGAUGCAGCGACGCCGCGUGAGCGAUGAAGUAUUUCGGUAUGUAAAGCUCUAUCAGCAGGGAAGAUAAUGACGGUACCUGACUAAGAAGCUCCGGCUAAAUACGUGCCAGCAGCCGCGGUAAUACGUAUGGAGCAAGCGUUAUCCGGAUUUACUGGGUGUAAAGGGAGCGUAGGCGGUCCUGCAAGUCUGAUGUGAAAGGCCGGGGCUCAACCCCGGGACUGCAUUGGAAACUGUAGGACUAGAGUGUCGGAGGGGUAAGUGGAAUUCCUAGUGUAGCGGUGAAAUGCGUAGAUAUUAGGAGGAACACCAGUGGCGAAGGCGGCUUACUGGACGACUACUGACGCUGAGGCUCGAAAGCGUGGGGAGCAU
rnacentral:rRNA from 1 species